GACGAACGCUGGCGGCGUGCCUAAUACAUGCAAGUCGAACGCAGUGGGGACGGGUGAGUAAACCGUGGUUAACCUCCCAUCAGAGGGGAUAACACUUGGAAACAGGUGCUAAACUGAUAAUGAUGGAUGGACUCGCGGUGUAUUAGCUAGUUGGUGAGGUAACGGCCCACCAAGGCCACGAUGCAUAGCCGACCUGAGAGGGGGAUCGGCCAAACUGGGACUGAGACACGGCCCAGACUCCUACGGGAGGCAGCAGUAGGGAAUCUUCGGCAAUGGACGAAAGCCUGACCGAGCAACGCCGCGUGAGUGAAGAAGGUGUUCGGAUCGUAAAACUCUGUUGUUAGAGAAGCGGUAUCUAACCAGAAAGCCACGGCUAACUACGUGCCAGCAGCCGCGGUAAUAC
rnacentral:rRNA from 1 species